rnacentral:rRNA from 1 species
GACGAACGCUGGCGGCGUGCCUAAUACAUGCAAGUCGAGCGAAGAUUUUCUGGUGCUUGCACUAGCAAAACUUAGCGGCGAACGGGUGAGUAACACGUAAAGAACCUUCCACAUAGACAGGGACUACUAUUGGAAACGAUAGCUACUACUGGAUAACAGUAUUUCUUGCUUGAGGGUUAUUAAAAUGUUGGUUUUGCUAACACUAUGAGCUUGCUCUGCGGUGCAUUAGCUAGUUGGUGGGGUAAAGGCCCACCAAGGCGACGAUGCAUAGCCGACGUGAGAGGGUGAUCGGCCACACGGGGGGGUGGACACGGCCCAUGCGCCUACGAGAGGCAGCAGUAGGGAAUCUUACGCAGUGGGCGAAAGCCUUGCGGAGCAACGCCGCGUGAGUGGAGGAGGAUUUCGGUGCGUAAAGAUCGGUUGUUAGGGAAGAAUGGAUAUGUAGUAACUAGACAUGUAAGUGACGGUACCUGGCCAGAAAGCCACGGCUAACUACGUG